GACGGGGGAUGCAAGUGUUAUCCGGAAUCACUGGGCGUAAAGCGUCUGUAGGUGGUUUAAUAAGUCAACUGUUAAAUCUUGAGGCUCAACCUCAAAAUCGCAGUCGAAACUAUUAGACUAGAGUAUAGUAGGGGUAAAGGGAAUUUCCAGUGGAGCGGUGAAAUGCGUAGAGAUUGGAAAGAACACCGAUGGCGAAAGCACUUUACUGGGCUAUUACUAACACUCAGAGACGAAAGCUAGGGUAGCAAAUGGG
rnacentral:rRNA from 1 species